GUUUGUGGUGGUGGUGCGGGGAGGGGGGGGUGCUGCCUGGGUCGCUGGCGAACAGCUCCUUAAAUAGCCGAUUAGGCAUGCAGAGUUGGAGCUCGCGGCGGGUUCACAGGAGCCCGGGCCCUGGCUCAGGCGCCCAGCUGGGGUGAGCUCUUCCUUCCUCUGCUCUUCUCAUGGGCACUGUCCAGAGUUACCAGCCCUGAGGAGGCACCCAUUUGAGCUCCCUCUGCACUUGUCCCUCCUGCCAAGAAGCAAGAAAUAGCCAAAACAAAGGGAGCAGAAGCUAAAUAAGGAAGCAGGAUAAAAGCCAAAUGAACAGAAUAAUGCAUGUGCUGGAUCAUCAGUGCCCACUGAGGCAGGAGUUGUCAUGCCUUUCUGGUCCCUGUGAUUGAUGUGCGAAGCAAAACCAUUUGGAGGAUGUCAUUUCCUUCUUCAUUUUCUCAUCACCCACAGAAUUAUUUUUCCCUUACAAGGCGCAUUUUAUGUUUUGGGGUUUCCCCAAAGCCCCACCCCUCUCAUCUAAGAAGAAUAAAAGGCAUAAAGUGUAAACUAGACAUCCUGGGAAUCAGGAUAGUUAACACAGAGAAACAGAGAAAGGAAGAAAAGCAGAGACAUCUAUUGCAUGGGAGGAAAGAAUGGGCCUGGACAGAAUGACCUCGCUAGGUCAGAGUCCCCGUCCAGCGGCUGUGGCUGUAAUUCAGCUUCCCCAGGCAGAUAGUGUGUCUUGCCAGGCGCCACCUCCUGGUUGUCUCAUGAAUUUUUUCUUUUGGUAAUUUUUUAAAAUUUUAAUUUAAAAUGUGUGUGUGUGACUGCUUCGGGGAAGUGUUUCACUGCUGGUGGGAUUUGGGAUUUUGCCUCCAGAAAUAAACAUUGUUUCACAAAAAUGUCUUAGCCCCAAAUCAGCACCUUCCCACUUCUGAGUGAGCAGCCUCUCCAGGCCCUCGUGCUUCCCCAGUAGACAAAGACCUUGGUUUCUGGGAGGGAGGGAGUAAGGAGGCAAGCACCGUCCUCCAGGCACUUGCCUUUAUUUUGCUCUUUGGCUCUACUAUGGAUAUUUCUGUAGUCACCAAGCUAAUUUGGAGUAGGUGUCAAGAGGACCCUUCUAUGUUAAAACAAAACAAAAUGCCAUCCCACCCCCCCCACUCCCUUCACCUUAGUAGCUACUCAAACUCUGGUACCUUUGUUUUAAUUCCUACUUCUCUCUCCAGCACAUUCCUUACCCCGGAGUUGGCUAAACCCAAGGCAUUCCACUGCCUUCUGGCGCCAUCUCCUGUCCUUUCAAAUGCAGUGAAAUGUGAACAGGUCAGAGAAUCAAAUGUCCAAGUGUGGUUGGUGGCUUUUUGGUUUGUUUUUUCUUUCUUUCUUUUUUUUUUUUUUAAAGAUUUUAUUUAUUCAUUUGAGACACAGAGAUACAGAGAGAGAGAGAGAGCAUGAGCAGGGGGGGAGACAGAGGGAGAGGGAGAAGCAGGCUCCCUGCUGAGCCAGGAGCCCGAUGUGGGGCUCGAUGUGGGGCUCGAUGUGGAGCUCGAUGUGGGGCUCGAUGUGGGGCUCGAUGUGGGGCUUGAUCCCAGGAUCCUGGAAUCAUGACCUGAGCCGAAGGCAGAUGCUUAACCAUCUGAGCCACCCAGGCGCCCCUGGUUUGUUUUUUCUUAAAAGUUCUUUUUACUUUAUUAUUAUUUUUCUUACUUAAGGAAUCUCUAUACCCCACGUGCGGCUAGAACUUACAACCCCCAAGAUCAAGAGUCGGCAUACUCUUCAAACUGAGCCAGCCAGGCAUCCCAUUAAGAGGUCCUUUUAAAAAGGAUAUUUAGGAGCGCCUCUGCCGCUCCCCCUGCUUGUGCAUGCUCUCUCUCUCUGUGUGUCAAAUAAAUAAAUAAAAUCUCUUUUUAAAAAAGGAUGUUUAAACUCAAUAAAUGUCCUAAAUAGUCUAAAACACCUUACAAAAGCCCACUAGGUACUGAGUUUGUGUGGUGGGGUAUACAAGAGUCAGUGUGGGAGGGAGGCAGAUCAAAAAGAAAGGAGGGGCACCUGGGUGGCUCAGUCAGUUAAGUGUCUGCCUUCUGCUCAGGUCAUGAUCCCAGGGUCUUGGGAUCAAGCCCUGCAUCAGGCUCCCUGCUCAGCGGGGAGUCUGCUUCUCCCUCUGCUCCUCCCCCUCCUCCUGCUCUCUCUCUCAAAUAAAUAAAUUAAAAAAACAAAACAAUACAAAAACAAAAAAAGGCGAAUGGCCAACACAGGAACUUAAGCAAUACAGUUGGUAACGAGAAAAGAGAAUCAAUGAGGUGACAAUUAGAUGGAAUUCGAUUUCUUUUUUUUUUUUAAGAUGUUAUUUAUUUGACAGAGAGAGACACAGUGAGAGAGGGAACACAAGCAGGGGGAGCGGGAGAGGGAGAAGCAGGCUUCCUGCGGAGCAGGGAGCCGGAUGCGGGCUCAAUGCGGGGCUCGAUGAGGGGCUUGAUGCGGGGCUUGAUGCGGGGCUUGAUCCCAGGACCCUGGGAUCAUGACCUGAGCUGAAGGCAGAUGCCUAACGACUGAACCACCCAGGCGCUCCUGGAAUUCGAUUUCUUAAAAGAGCAAGCAACUGGGGCGCCUGGGUGGCUUAGUUGGUUAAGCGACUGCCUUCGGCUCAGGUCAUGAUCCUGGUGUCCCUGGAUCGAGGCCCGCAUCGGGCUCCCUGCUCGGCAGGGAGUCUGCUUCGCCCUCUGACCCUAUCCCCUCUCAUGUGUUCUUUCUCUCUCAUUCUCUCUCUCUAAUAAAUAAAUAAAAUCUUAAAAAAAAAAAAAAGAGCAAGCAACUUUGUGCCAUGAAAUAAUGUAGACCCAGAGAUAUUCUAAUUUGGUAGAUAAUCACAUUUAUUAUCACACGCUUGUCUCCUAACACAUGAGUACUGAAGCCCCUUAAGCAAACACAAGAGCUUAAGAAUUGAGGUCAAAGUAAAAACAAACAAACAAACAAAGAACAAAAAACAAAAGAAUUAAAGUCCAAGUAAUUUGGGAGAGGAGUGGUCAGAAUUCUGGAUCAUUUUCUCAGCUUUCCAGUUCACAUUCCCCAACAAAUGCAAUGUGAGACUAUUGUAGACAGAAGACAGGUAAGUUUGUGGUCUGCAAUCUUGCAACUUUAUUUAAAAAGGAGUAAUUGUGGGGCACUUGGGUGGCUCAGUUGGUUUAAGUGUCUGCCUUCGGCUCAGGUCAUGAUCCCAGGGUCCUGGGAUGGAGCCCCGCAUGGGGCUCCCCGCUCAGCGGGGAGUCUGCUUCUCCCUCUGCCCCGUCCCCACCCCCACCCCCCACCCCUGUUCAUUCAUGCUCUCCUGCAUCCUCACUCUCUCAAAUAAAUAAAUAAAUAAAUAACAUCUUAAAAAAUAAAAAGGAGUAAUUUUGUGUCCUGCACUGAUUCCGUGUCCAGGUCACUGUCUGGUACGUACAUAUUUGCUGAAUGAAUGACUAAAUCUAGUCAUUGGAACAUUUAUUUACUUUCUUUCUGUCUUUGGUAUUUUGCGGAAUUUUAGACCAGAAGGGUUCUCAGGCAUCAUUCCAACUCUCCCUGUGAAGGCAGAGUUUUGAGGGGCUUAGGGAUUCUCUCAUGGUUAGACACAGGGCCGCUAAGCUGAACCAGGGCAAGAGCACAGACCCCGUUGGACUUCCUACUACACUACUGGUUCUCAAACAUCAGUGUGCAUCAGAACACAUCUGGAAAGUGUGCAUCUGGAAAGCUUGUUUAAUUACAGAUUUCUGGGCCUCCCUCCCAUAGUUUCUGAUUCUGUAGGUCUGGAGUAUGUCCAGAGAAUUGCAUUUGUAGCAAGUCCUCAGGUGAUGCUGAUGGUCUAAGGGGACCCCACUUGAGAACCAAAGCCCUACACCAACUGGAAUAGGGAAGGUAGUAGGAAGUUUGCCAUUCUUGGUAGGGCUUCCAGCAUCUGGAAUUGUUAUUUGCAGUCAUCUUUAUAGAGAUGAGCCACAAUACCUUCACUAGUUUACAAUCAUAUAUUGAGGACUUCUAGAUGCUAGGCACCAUGCCAUGCCCUAGAAAUAAAAAAUUAACAAGAGGUAAUCCCAGCCCUCAAGAAUUUCACAAUCUCUUAAGGGCUAUAGAUACCUUACCCAAUUACUAGACUGCAGCACUGAGGAGUUCUGAAUAAUGGUAGAGCAAAAUGUUAUGGGAAUCAAAGAAGAUGGGAAACUAGUGGUGAGGUUUUCUUUACCUGAUACCAACAAUCUUUCCGCAGAAUAGGAGCAGGUCCUAGAGUUAUAUGUAACAACAAAAAAUUCCACUCCAAGGCAGGCAGGUUCGUGUUUCACUGUCUUGGAGAGUGACACCAAAGGAUAGGUUCUGUCAAAGCAGGAUUCUCCUUAAUACAUUUUAUAAAUUGCUUCCUCUGCAAGUAGGAAAGAAAAAGGAUAGCAGGGUGCUCUGGAAUUGUAGUUAUCUGUUCUGUCUGCUCUGGUGGCUGCCUCAUUCUGCCUGUCUUCUUCCUUUUCUCCUUAUUCUCUACCAUUUGUCUAACUUAAAUGAACGUUGUAUACCAACCCAAGCAAAAGAUAUUAACACUUUUUUUUUAAAGAUUUUAUUUAUUUAUUUGACAGAGAGAGAGAGACACACACAGCGAGAGAGGGAACACAAGCAGGGGGAGCAGGAGAGGGAGAAGCAGGCUUCCCGCGGAGCAGGGAGCUCAUUGCGGGGCUCGAUCCCAGGACCCCGGGAUCAUGACCUGAGCCAAAGGCAGACGCUUAACUACAGAGCCACCCAGGCGCCCCAGAUAUUAACACUUCUACCACUUCCCUUCCAUGCUGCUGCUCCCGCCUCAAUUAAUUCCCUGCAGUAGCUGAGGAGGCAUUGCUCGGAGGAGGAAAUCCAAAACCCAACAAAAGCUUCAAGUCAUUUCUAAGGAACAUCCGCAAAAGUGAAAUACAUCUAUUAAUGAGCUCGUAGAUCCUGCAUUCUUUCUACUGUUCUACUGUCCAACGCAUUUAUCAUUUUAGGUAUGACAUAUAUAUAAUUAAGUAGUACUCUCGCAGGUUGGUUAUAAAUCUAUUCACAUUGGGAAAAAUUGACUUUUUUUGCUCCUUCUAAAAAAAAUAAAAUAAAAAGGAGGGACACCUGGGUGGCUCAGUCGGAAGCUCAGAUCUUGAUCUUGGUAUUGUGAGUUCAAGCCCCACUUCAUGUUUUGUUUUUUUUUUUAAUUUUUAAAAAAGAUUUUAUUUAUUUAUUUGACAGAGAGAGAGAGAGAGGACAAGCAGGGAGAAUGGCAGGCAGAGGGAGAAGCAGGCUCCCAGAUGAGCAAGGAGCCUGAUGUGGGACUUGAUCCCAGGACCCUGGGAUCAUGACCAGAGCUGAAGGCAGAUGCUUAACCGACUGAGCCACCCAGGCAUCCUUACUUUAUUAUUUUUUAAUUAUACAGGUAAUACCUGAUGAAUUUAGGGAAAAUAGGAGAUUCAAAAAAGAAAAGAAAAUAACAUCACUUAAAAUUCCUUCAAUUAGAAAUAACUGUGGGCGCCUGGGUGGCUCAGUCAGUUAAGCGACUGCCUUUGGCUCAGGUCAUGAUCCUGGAGUCCUAGGAUCAAGUCCCGCAUUGGGCUCCCUGCUCAGCAGGCAGUCUGCUUCUCCCUCUGACCCUCCCCCAUCUCAUGCUCUCUUUCUCUCUCUCAAAUAAAUAAAUAAAAUUAAAAAAAAAGAAAUAACCGUGUUAAUAUUUGGUAUUUUACAAACGUUUUUCUAUGAAGUUACAUCUAAAUGCAUAUUUUGGGGCACCAGGGUGGCUCAGAAGGUUAAGCAUCUGCCUUGGGCUCAGGUCAUGAUCCUGGGGUCCUGGGAUCAAGCCCUGUAUCUGAACCCGGCUCCCUGCUCAGCGGGGAGUCUGCUUCUCCCUCUCCCUCUCCCUCUCUCCACUUGUGUGCUCUCUCUCUCUCUCUCCAGUGAAUAAAUAAAAUCUUUUAAAAAAAGGAAUGCAGGGCGCCUGGGUGGCUCAGUUGGUUGAGCGACUGCCUUCGGCUCAGGUCAUGAUCCUGGAGUCCCGGGAUCGAGUCCCGCCUCGGGCUCCCUGCUCUGCAGGGAGUCUGCUUCUCCCUCUCCCACUCCCCGUUUGUGUUCCCUCUCUCGCUGUGUCUUUCUCUGUCAAAUAAAUAAAUAAAAUCUUUAAAAAAAAAUGAAUGCAUACAUUUUAUGUGUAUAAAUAUUGUACUUUUUACACAAAUGGGACCAUAUCAUACACAUAUUUGGCCUGUAACCUUUUUUCCUAACAUUAUUUUGUGAACAUUCUUCAAUGUCAAUAAACAUGUCUCCCUGUUUUUCUUUCUUUUGCUUUAAUAGAUGGCUUGUUCCUUUCUUUAAUUACAAAAGGAAUGAGACCUACAUAUUAAAUUAUUGAACACAUAUAAAACCCAGUAUAUAUUCAUAUUCACUAGAGCUACAAAGUAUUAUCACUUUUAGAAAAUUCUUUAAUUAUAAUUUACAUUCACUUCUUCCCCUACUAAUCUUAUAUUUAUCAAUAUGCUAACUAAGCAGAACAUAGUAACCUCACAUGUGUUUUUGGAGUUACUCUAAGCACCAGAUAUGUUUGGAUUUUUUGAUAGUUAAAUGUUUAUACUUCAUAAUGAACUCAAUCAAAGAAGUUCACUAUGAGCCCACUCUCCCCUUCUCUGUCAUCAAUUUAUUUUAAUUUUUAAAAUUUUUUUUAAAAAGAUUUUAUUUAUUCACCUGACAGAGAGAGACAUAGCAAGAAAGGGAACACAAGUGGGGGAGAGGGAGAAGCAGGCUUCUUGCCGAGAAGGGAGCCCGGUGUGGGGUUCAAUCCCAGGGCCUUGGUAUCAUGACCUGAGCCAAAAGCAGAUGCUUAAUGACUGAGCCACCCAGACACCCCUCUGUCAACAGUUAUUUAAACUUCAUAGUAUUGUAUAGAAAUAACCUAGUAUAUUUAUCCAAUCCUCUGCCUUGGGAUUGCUUGAGUUUUUUUUUUUUUCUUCAGUUUUUAUCUGUAACAAUACUUCAAUGGGAAUAUUCUUGUUCAUACAUAUUUACACACUGUCCAAUUGUUUCCUAGAAUUGCAAGAGGGUCUAUGCUUUUUAUUUUAACUUUUUAUUAUGAAAAAGUUCAAACUCAACCCUUUUAAAAAAUAUAUUUAUUAUUUGAGAGAGAGAGCAUGCGUAUGGUGGGGGUGGGCAGAGGGGUAGGGAGAGAGAGUCUUAAACAGACUCCACGCUGAGCAUGGAGCCUGACGCAGGGCUCGAUUUCACGACCCUGAGAUCAGGACCUGAGCAGAAGCCAAGAUUCGGGUGCUUAACCAACUGCACCACCCAGGCGCCCCCAAUCCUUUUAAAAAGUCAGGUUAAUGAAGGUGUAACUUAUAUACAGUAAAAUUCAUCCUUGUAAGUGUACAGUUCUAUGUGUUUUGACAAAUGCAUACAUUCACGUAACCACCAUCAUAAUCAAGAUACAGAACCCUGCCGCACCAUAAUUCCCUUGUGCCCUUUGUAGUCAGCUUCUCUUCCCACACUCAUCCUUUAGUAACUACUGAUCUGUUUUCUGACCCUAUAAUUUUGCCUUUGCCUUUAAUAUAUAAGACAUAUAAGAAUGUCUUAUAUAUUAAAUUAUACAGUAUGUAGACUUUUUUUUUUAAGAUUUUUUAUUUAUUUAUCUGAGAGAGAGAAUGGGAGACAGAGAGCAUGAGAGGGGGAGGAUCAGAGGGAGAAGCAG